CAAUAGCGUAUAUUAAAGUUGUUGCAGUUAAAAAGCUCGUAGUUGGAUUUCUGGGAGAGUGGCGAUGUCCGCUUAACGUGUGUGCAGCGACGCUCUUCCAUCCUUCUGUUAGCGUCUCUCGGCAUUCAUUUGUCGGUGGCGGGCUCAGAUAUUUUACCUUGAGAAAAUUAGAGUGUUUCAGGCAGGCUAGGCCGGAAUACAUUAGCAUGGAAUAAUGGAAUAGGACUACGGUCUCUUUGUUGGUUUGAGGGACUGCAGUAAUGAUUAAUAGGGAUAGUUGGGGGCAUUAGUAUUUAAUUGUCAGAGGUGGAAUUCUCAGAUUUGUUAAAGACUAACUUAUGCGAAAGCAUUUGCCAAGGAUGUUUNCAUUA
rnacentral:rRNA from 1 species